AUGUCUCCAGUUGCUAUUUGCCGGAAAGAUUUAUGUAUACCGGUAUCUCCAUGUACUAAACAUGUUAGAAAGAUAUCUCAUGUAUAUUCAUCUCUUGUGUGCUACAGCCCCUUAGCUCGCCGCGUCUUCUCAGCAAGCCGUGGAGACAAGACCAUGCAUCUAAAAUUGUUCUUGAUGGAGACACCACCUGCUUGUUGCUACCUACAUCCCGUGGAAGACAGUGGGCACGACCUUGCUAUAGACCCUGCAUGUUGCUGCGGUCGUGCUCCUGGCUACCUAGGCGUGCCCGUGCCUUUAGCUCCCGUCAGAAAAUUGGCCACCGUUGCAGGUCAGCUUCUCCUGAUGCGCCAGUCCAGCUGCGAAAAUGAAGAGUACAGGGAAGCUUCUCCAGAAAAAUGGCCACCAUUGCGGUUGGUUUCUGAAUCAAGAUGUUGCUUGUCUGAGAGUACAGGGAAGAAGAAAAUCACGGAGAAUAUAAUGCAUCAGCACUAUGUGGGUAAGGUGAUAGAAGAUACGAAGGGAAUGUGUGGUGGAGAAAUGCAAGUCCGCCACUAG
rnacentral:rRNA from 1 species